rnacentral:rRNA from 1 species
UACGAAGGGGGCUAGCGUUGUUCGGAAUCACUGGGCGUAAAGCGCACGUAGGCGGAUCUUUAAGUCAGAGGUGAAAUCCCAAGGCCCAACCUUGGAACUGCCUUUGAUACUGGGGAUCUUGAGUCCGGGAGAGGUGAGUGGAACUGCGAGUGUAGAGGUGAAAUUCGUAGAUAUUCGCAAGAACACCAGUGGCGAAGGCGGCCAACUGGUCCGGUACUGACGCUGAGGUGCGAAAGCGUGGGGAGCAAACAGGG